CUACAUCUAAGUGAAUCUAGGAGAGAGUCACCCCUGUGUCUUUAUUAGCAUGACUCUCUCCAUAGUUGUCAGCUGUCUGAUGAAGUAAAACAAUAGUUUCUACCCUGCUUUUCAAAGGGAGAAAGAGACGGAUUUUGACCUGUCCAAAGUCAGUCUUGACCCUGUGAAGGGAAUCUGGGAGCUGCUAGCCUUGCUCCUUGCCACCUUUUGAUGUGUGUUUCCAUUUAGGUUGAAUGACAUGUACUCCGUUGUCAUGGUUUUAAAAGGACCUCUCUGCAAGUCUGGCUUCUGCAUCAAGUUCUGGACUAAAAUUAUGUUUAAAUUUUGUUUCCUCUCAUCUCUCCCUGGUUUUGAUUAUUGCUUAAGAAUAGUUGAUGGUCUCAUGACACAAUCCUUUACUUUUGUAUUUUGUGUCUUGUGUUUUGAAUUUUAUGUGAAAUGGUGGGUUUGAUCUUUGACCUCUGUUUACUGUAAUACUGAUUUACCACUAAUUUGAUAGCAAGCCAUAGGGAUCUACUGUAAACACGCUGCUCACUUUACACCGCUCUGUUUGACUCUUAAGUGGAGAAAUGUGUGCGUAGAAUACGAUUGAGAGACGUGCAGAAGUAACAGAACCCAUAUAACUUCCCAAGUUCCCAGGUAGCAGUCGUAUUAAUAUAAAACCUUCCUGUGAUGUGAGAGCCUAGUAAAUUAAGAGGAAGUCAGCAAUGUAAACAGGCACAACCUAGCAUUCAGUUUUAGUGUGGUCAAUAUAUUCACCCUGAAAUACAGAAACACAGCCCGGACCACACAGCAUGGCCUAAGCUGGUUAAGCUCUGAACCCAGAGAACCCUGGCCACAGGCGUGCUCAGUGCGAUCGGCCCUGGAUCUAUUUGCUGAUCCUGGGGAAGGAAAGGAUUGACUCGGGCACACAGGAUGGGAGCGUGCUGGCUUGAGAGUGGCUACACAGGCAUCUGGGAGCUGAGAGGAGUCUGUCCUGCUGUAUGGUGAUAUGCCCAUGGCUUUUCUUUCCCAGUUAUCAGACUUUGUGCACGAGAUUCUUCUUAGCUCCCAACCCCAUAGUCUACAAGGGGUGAGGAGAGGCAGGGUUUUCCCUAUCAUGGCUGUACCUAUGGGAGCAGCAUCCUCAAGAAGAUGGAUUGUGGCCAGGAAAAUAUUGGGGACAAAACCACUAUCUCUUCCUCCUGCUAUGCCUGUGAGGUGGUAGGAGGAGAGGUAAAAUGAGCAAAAGGGUUGGCUCAUCAGUCAGUGCAGACCCCAUUGUUUCUGGUCAUCCUGUGACUCUGAGCAUUGAAUACAGACAAGCAUGGAUUAUUGUCCUGGAAACACUUAGAGCCAACUGAAAUAGACAAUUGUCAUGUUCAACCUGUUCCACCUUUUCUUUUCCAUCUCAUUUCUCUUUACCAUAUUUACAAAGAUAGCAUGAGAAUGAAAUUAUUUGUUUAUCCUGAAAAUAUUUAUGGAAUCUCCUCCUUUAUGCACAACCAAAAUAUUAUGGAAGAGAGAAAAAUACAUGAUGCAUAGGCAUCCUGGACAGGAGAUGCAUUCUGCUGGAGCUGCAGAAUAUGUUUGUGUGUGCUUGCACACAUGCUUGUAUGUGGGCAUGUUUUUGUGUGUGUGCAUGUGUGUGCACAUUCGUCUGUGUGUGUGUGUGUGUGUGUGUGUUUGCAUGUUUGGAGGUGAAAGGAGCUCACUACUCUAUCAAUUUAGAUACCUAUAAGGUGAAUGAUGUCACAAAGUCAGGCAGAAUUCUAUGAAAAAGGAAUACUGGCAACAAUGACAUCCAUCAACCCAGAAGAAGAGGGCCAAGGGUGGGUUUGCCUACAGUGACCGAACUAGAACUUAAAAUCUGCCACUGAGCCUGGAAAAGUGGGAGAUGUGUUUGUGGAAUAAAGCUAACUUGAAGGAAAAGCUUCAUGAACACUUCAGAUGCUUCAAGAGGCCCAAAGUUCAGCCCUGAUUCGGCUGAUUGCUGACGCGAUUUUAGCACGUCUAUUCUGUCAGCUGUUGCUGUGUGCAUCUGUAACUGGAAAUUCUAGCAGCUCUCCCAACUCUUACUAGGAGUUCUGUACUGAUCUAAUAAGGUGAUACACAUGAAAACACUAAGGGACAUCAGCAUAUGGGACAGAUUAAAGCACACCAGAAAUACCAUCCCAGGUUUGACUUUAAUUCCUUAAGUAAUAAGGAGUCAUUAAAGACCUUUGAAGAAGGAGUAAAUGGUAUGAGGUACAAGGUAUAAGGAACUGAAUUCUCCUCUCCAGACCCCUGGCAAUCAGUCUCUCUUCUCUGCUGACAGUUCCGUAUGAUGAUUGCCUGGGCCAAAAUUUACAUGUGACACAGCAACAGCAGCAGCAACAGCAGCAGCAGCAACAGCAGAGCAGCAACACAACAGCAGGAACAACAGUAGCAACAGCAACAAUAGCAACAGUAACAGCAAUAACAACAGCAGCAGCAACAACAGCAACAGCAACAGCAGAACAGCAAUAAGGACAACAGCAACAACAGCAACAGUAACAGCAACAACAGCAGCAGCAGCAGCAGCAACAGUAACAGCAACACCAGCAGCAACAGCAACAAAAGCAGCAAUAGUAACAGCAGCAACAACAGCAGCAGCAACAGCAGCAGCAACAACAGCAGCAGCAGUAGCAGCAGCAACAACAACAAAUCCCAAACUUUAGCUCCUGCUCCCAUGGGUUUGUAAGGUUGGGGCUCCCCAAAUGCUUCUUAUGCAAAUAAAACUUGAGAUCUCCUGUUCUCUCCCCCCCCAAUAAAAUACAGUUCCAAUGU